rnacentral:rRNA from 1 species
AAAUAUUCCCAUAGAAAGGAAAGGAAAGGACCAGUUCUCGUCCAAUCACUGAAGUUAAGCAACGUCAGGCUCAGUAAGUACUUGGAUGGGUUACUGCCUGGCAACACCGAGUGCUGUAGACU